ACCAGCAUGGAGUAAUGGUUUGAAUGUUAGACUGCAACUCUGGAGACCAGGGUUUGAUUCCCUGCUCAGUCA